rnacentral:tRNA from 1 species
GGGAAUAUAGUUCAAUGGUAGAAAGGUUGGCUGUUAACCAACGAAUGGGAGUUCAAUUCUCUCUGUUCCCUCCA